CGGACACAUACGGAGGAAUGACGGUGUGAGGACACAGGGAGAAGAUGGCCAGCUGUGAGCCAGAGAGGCAGCUCCGGAGAAACCAGCCCUGCCUGCACCUUGAUCUCAGACUCCUAGCCUCUAGAACUGUGAAGAAAUCAAUUGGUGUGUAAAUCCCAAGUCUGUGGUACUCUGUCGUGGCAGCCCUUGCAAACAAAUAUCCCUGCAAAAUGAGGAUUUAGGACUAGAUGGUUCCUAAUACCCUUUGCAAGUGAAAAAAAAAAAAAGUCUUGAUUUUAACUAUUCCAUUUUAUCUGUGUUUAUCCCUUCCUCCCCCCGCCCCAAAUACUUGCCAUUAUUGAAAGUCGAGGAAGCCAGGCACAGUGGCUCACUCCAGCCUGGGCAACAGAGCAAGAUUGUAUCUCAGGAAGAGAGACAGAGAGGGAGAGAGAGAAA
rnacentral:lncRNA from 10 species